rnacentral:tRNA from 1 species
UGGACAGUUGGCCGAGCGGCUGAAGGCGCACGCCUGGAACGCGUGUAAACGGCAACCCCGUUUCGAGGGUUCAAAUCCCUCACUGUCCGUC